UACGAAGGGUGCAAGCGUUAUUCGGAAUCAUUGGGCGUAAAGCGCGCGCAGGCGGAUGUGCAAGUCAGAUGUGAAAUCUCGGAGCUUAACUCCGAAACUGCGUCUGAAACUGCACGUCUAGAAUGUCGGAGGGGGCAGGGGAAUUUCACGUGUAGGGGUAAAAUCCGUAGAGAUGUGAAGGAACACCGGGGGCGAAGGCGCCUGCCUGGACGACUAUUGACGCUGAGGCGCGAAAGCGUGGGGAGCAAACAGG
rnacentral:rRNA from 1 species